rnacentral:lncRNA from 1 species
CUGAGCUUAUGGUCAAGUGUACUGCGUUGUAGUGUGGUGUAACGAAGUGUUCCAGCCCUGAAAACGAAAGAAAUAUACAGACAUGUGUAUUUAUUUUAAUGUGUACAACUUUAUUUACUUUAUCCUAUAGAAAAUUCCCUCCAAAGUAAACUACAGCAACAGAGUGCAGUACAAUACCACAAGUUUUCCAGCCAAAUGCGAAAAUUCCACACCUUUAUCACGAGGAAAUCUGCAAUGGCAUUUAGGAAUGACAAAUAGAAGCUCAACUAUUCGAAGCAGGAGACCGAAGAGAAAAAAGGAAGAGAGAUGAUAUUACAGCUGCAGAAAAGGAAAUAAUUGAAACGCAGAAGAAUAUAUUAAUGUACUGUGUGAAAUAUGUGACUUGUAUAAGCAAUCAGUUGCAAAUCAGUCUGCUGUCAUAGAAAAUCAAAAUAUAAUUAUUAAUUUAUUAAAAAAAUAAAUCAUGCAUUUCAAAUAUUA